rnacentral:misc_RNA from 1 species
AAGGAUCAUUAUCAAUAACAGUGGACUUCGGUCCCUGCUACUCCCUUGUCUUUUGCGUACCACUUGUUUCCUCGGCGGGCUUGCCUGCCGAAAGGACAACCAUUGAACCACUUGCAGUUGCAAUCAGCGUCAGAAAUAAACAAUCGUUAAAACUUUCAACAACGGAUCUCUUGGUUCUG